UCUUGGUUCAGGAUUAACGCUGGCGGCGUGCCUAACACAUGCAAGUCGAACGAAAUAUCUUCGGAUAUUAGUGGCGAACGGGUGAGUAAUGUACAGGUAAUGUACCUUCGUACUGCGAAUAACAAGCUGAAAAGUUUGCUAAUACGGAAUAGUUUCCUUCGAGGGCAUCCUUAAAGGAAUAAAGAUUUAUCGUGCGGAGAUCAGCCUGUAUCCUAUUAGUUAGUUGGUGGGGUAAUGGCCUACCAAGACGACGAUGGGUAACUGGUCUGAGAGGAUGAGCAGUCACAUUGGAACUGAGAAACGGUCCAAACUCCUACGGGAGGCAGCAGUGAGGAAUUUUGCGCAAUGGGGGAAACCCUGACGCAAGCAACGCCGCGUGAGUGAAGACGGCCUUCGGGUUGUAAAGCUCUGUCGUGUGUGACGAGUAGGGACGGUAACACACAAGGAAGCCUCGGCUAACUACGUGCCAGCAGCAGC
rnacentral:rRNA from 1 species